CUUGGGUCCAGGGUGGGUGGAAACAGCAGAGACCCCGGCGCAGUUGCAUCGCUGGAAGUGGGGUCUGCAGUGCUGAUGGUGUCGGUUGGAGUGCUUGGAGUCCUCAGCGAACACUAGGAGCAUCGAUUGGCGGAGGUACUCAGUCGGAGUGCCAGCGUUCCGUCACAGAAAGGUUUAAUCAGUAUCAUCGCUCUGUAAGACAGAGAGCAGGUAAGUAUACAAUUCAGCGAUACAAGGAGGCCCUGGGCAAGAGAGGGGUAACUGGCAGAAGGAGAGCAAGCGAUACUGAAAGGAAAGGUUUAGGCAGUAUCAUCGCUCUGUGAGACAGAGCAGGUAAGUAUACAGUUCAGCGAUACAAGGAGGCCCUCGGCAAGAGAGGUGUGACUACAGCGAAGUUUCAGAAUUUGUCCAAAUUACUGACUUUAG